GCUUCUUUGCAUCUGCAGUCAUAUUUCAAAAAUGUGGCUUUUCAGUUAUCGACCUCUUAACCUGGAAUCUGUUUCUUAACUUGGAAAUUAGGAGAUGUGCAUUUUGCUUUUUCAGAACGCCCUUUGAGACUCCAGCUUUAUUUCUUUAUCAGAGAACUGCCCAUCUAUUACCUUUGCACAUAUCAAGUUGGGACUUGGUUUGAUAUGCUCUAUCUCCCGCUCUUCCUGACAGCUGGGGAAGAAUAUAAAAGGAUGAAGGAAGGAUUAGGUCAUGAAAGCAAAAAGGUCCAGCUCUGCAGCUGAUAAAUGGCCCGGUAUGCCGUAUGAGAGAAGGAGCUUUUAAACGAUCAUUAGCAGCAUCUUCCCAUUCAUCAGCCCUGACUCGUUGUUGCGUCUAUGUUGCAACAGAACAAGCUGAAAAGAUCAAAUCCCUUGAUGACUCAGAGUGAAAGAAGAACCAGGGAAGGUUGCCGGCAGCAAGACGAAACACUCUGGAUCAGUACAGGAGGGAGAGGGAAGCCAUGGAGCGGGACCAAACUGAAGGGUACGAGCUGGAGGACGCAAGAGGGUUGAUGCAUCGGUUUCCAACAUCAGAUUGAGACACGCUGCUCUUGACAGACGGAAUAUGCAGAAUAUGCUUUCCAGUAACCCACAAAGCACAUGAUGCUUACAAACCGACUACAAGUGGCAAGAAACCAGUCGAAGCAUGCAAAGAUGGAGAUUGGGACAAAGCUGAGAGGUGAUAAUCCUACGUGUCAGUCAAUAAAAUAGUCAGUCAAUAAAAUAAUUGUCCCUUCUCUGAAGAUUAGGAUG